rnacentral:rRNA from 1 species
UACGGAGACUGCGAGCGUUACUCGGAAUUACUGGGCGUAAAGGGUGCGCAGGCGGUUGUGUGUGUCGAGUCUGGAAGUCGGUGACUUAAUCAUCGUGAGGACUCGAAACUGCACGACUUGAGUAUCGGAGGGGUAAGCGGAAUUCCGUGAGUAGCAGUGAAAUGCGUAGAUAUACGGAAGAACACCAAAGGCGAAGGCAGCUUACUUGACGAAUACUGACGCUCAGGCACGAAAGCGUGGGGAGCGAAAA